CUUUGGCCGCCUGUACAAGCUCCAUGUCUCCUCCUUCCUGUUAGAGGCACUACAUAAAGAGCUCGGUGCCGCUGCUGUUUGUCCUUGGCUGGCUGUUUGUCCUGGGCCGGCUGUUUGCCUGCUGUUCUGGUUGUCCACCUGUCACCUGGAUAAUCUGUCGGCUGCCUACCUGUCGUCCUGUUUGCUGGCUUCAUGCCCGCCGUCCGGAUCUGCGUAAAGCGGCUCCUAUCACUCGUCCAGUGUGGCUGAUUUGGGCUGAUUGGGGACCAGCUCGGACUAAGCCUUCUAGUGCCGCUUUGAGUGGCGUCUGCUACAGCGGAUCGGUUCCUCCCAAGACAGACUUUUAAUUUGGACUAUUGCUGCUUGAGCUGUUGUGGACUGAACUGUAUAAUUGUAUUUGUAAUUUGAAUGUUUCUUCUAUUUUAACAGGAACGGCCAGCUCGUGGUGUUGGUGGUGGACUUUCUGGGUGGUGGUACUACUUCUGGUUUGGUGCACGAUUUUCUUUUGUUUUGCUUUGUUUCGUUUGCUGUGUUUCUUUUCUUUUAGGACACUACCCCGAAUUUCACUCCCGUCUCUGAGUUGAGCCAUAACUGACUUUUAAGGUGUGAGUGAUUUUAGAUUAGUAUUUUUUGAUUAACCAAUUGUGGAAUAAAUAAAAUUGUUGAAUUGUGA